GGGGAUAUAGUUCAAUGGUAGAGUAUUUGCCUAUCAUGCACAAGACCCUGGGUUUGAUUCCCAGCACCA
rnacentral:tRNA from 1 species